AGAUUGAACGCUGGCGGCGUGCUUUACACAUGCAAGUCGUGCGGCAGCGCGGGGGCAACCCUGGCGGCGAGCGGCGAACGGGUGAGGAAUACAUCGGAACGUACCCCGGAGUGGGGGAUAACCCAGCGAAAGUUGGACUAAUACCGCAUAUGCUCUGAGGAGGAAAGCAGGGGACUUCGCAAGAGGCCUUGCGCUCGUGGGAGCGGCCGAUGUCCGAUUAGCUAGUUGGGUAGGGUAAUGGCUCACCAAGGCGACGAUCGGUAGCUGGUCUGAGAGGAUGAUCAGCCACACGUGGGACUGACGACACCGGCCCAGACCUCCGUACGGGAGGCAGCAGGUGGGGUAAUUUGGACAAGUGGGGGACAACCGUGA
rnacentral:rRNA from 1 species